rnacentral:rRNA from 1 species
GACGAACGCUGGCGGCGUGCUUAACACAUGCAAGUCGAACGAUGAAGCCGGAGCUUGCUCUGGUGAAUUAGUGGCGAACGGGUGAGUAACACGUGAGUAACCUGCCCUUGACUCUGGAAUAACUGCGGGAAACUGUAGCUAAUACCGGAUACGACCCUCGGAGGCAUCUCCUGGGGGUGGAAAGAAUUUCGGUCAAGGAUGGACUCGGGGCCUAUCAGCUAGUUGGUGAGGUAAAGGCUCACCAAGGCGACGACGGGUAGCCGGCCUGAGAGGGUGACCGGCCACACUGGGACUGAGACACGGCCCAGACUCCUACGGGAGGCAGCAGUGGGGAAUAUUGCACAAUGGGCGCAAGCCUGAUGCAGCAACGCCGCGUGAGGGACGACGGCCUUCGGGUUGUAAACCUCUUUUAGUAGGGAAGAAGCGAAAGUGACGGUACCUGCAGAAAAAGCACCGGCUAACUACGUGCCAGCAGCCGCAGUAA